UGAUAUCAGGUACCCUCGCUGCCAGUCCCGACCAAUCACAGGAGGUUCUUGUGGUUCCACUUGAGUUAAAAGAAGGAAGAAGACGGUGUAAAACCAGAAGACCUCUGGAGAACACAGAGACAAACCACUAAAGGCUGAGCAUCUGAGGAACAAGAUUUCAAAAUGAAAGCUGCCGUGUGUGCUGUCCUCCUCUUGCUGACUCUAUAUCAAGGCAAAUCAUUCCGCUCGUGCAUGGACAUGGCAGUGUGUCAGAGUUUCAUCUCAACACCCGACACGAUCGCCACAUGCUGCACCACCGACAGCUGCAACUGAGCCCCUUCAUCUCUGGUGGAACCAUUGGGAUGUUGGAUGAUCCAUUUCUACUGUUUAUGAAACCAAAAAGCAUGUGUUUGUCCACAACGUCAGGUCAAAUUAAAACUGUUGAGGAUCUGUACUGCCUUACGACACUAGGUGGCAGUAGAGCGAUGUGAAGAUGGGUGAGCCUCCACUUGGGCAACCACUGCCAGUGUGUAUGUGUAAGAGUGUUUUUUUUAAGUGAAUUAUUAAAAAAGACAAAGCAAUGAAACUAA